AGCCGAAACGCCGGCCCCUUUCCUCGAACGAAUCGGGCCGGCGUCGUCGCGGGCGGUUCCCGCGGCCUGACGAUGGCAGCCAACC
rnacentral:hammerhead_ribozyme from 1 species